rnacentral:rRNA from 1 species
UACGAAGGGGGGCUAGCGUUGCUCGGAAUCACUGGGCGUAAAGCGCACGUAGGCGGAUCUUUAAGUCAGGGGGUGAAAUCCCGAGGCUCAACCUCGGAACUGCCUUUGAUACUGGGGAUCUCGAGUCCGGAAGAGGUUGGUGGAACUCCGAGUGUAGAGGUGAAAUUCGUAGAUAUUCGCAAGAACACCAGUGGCGAAGGCGGCCAACUGGUCCGGAACUGACGCUGAGGUGCGAAAGCGUGGGGAGCAAACAGGG